rnacentral:misc_RNA from 1 species
AACGCACAUUGCGCCCCGUGGUAUUCCGCGGGGCAUGCCUGUUCGAGCGUCAUUAUGACCAAUCCCGUUCUGCGGGGUCUUGGGCACCGCCUCCGGGCGGGCCUCAAAACCAGUGGCGGUCCGGCCGGGCUCUGAGCGUAGUAAAUCUUCUCGCUAUAGGGUCCCGGGCGGCACUGGCCAGCAACCCCCGAUCUUUCACAGGUUGACCUCGGAUCAGGUAGGGAUACCCGCUGAACUUAA